CAGCUGCUUAACCAACUGAGCCACCCAGGCGUCCCAAUCCUUUACCAAUUUCAAGUAAUUCAUACAAUAUGGUAAGUGGUCAAAAUCCUAGGGGAUAUUUAAUUUAAAAAGAAUUUCCUAACCUGUAUGAAUUUCAAAUUGUUGAAGUGUAUAUUCUCUUUAUGUUUUCUAUGUAUUUGUCCAUUCUGGUCAUUAUCACACUAAGACACACCAGCACAUGACGGUUUAUUGAAUAAAUUUCUGCUGUGCCACUAUUGGAUACAAAGCAUUCAAACAGACUCUAAGAGAACUGUAAAAAUGAAUAAAAUAUAAUCUAUGCCGUUACUAGAUGGUAAAGACUUUACAGUCUAACAGGUGAAGUAGCCAAACACACAACUCAUCUCAUAAGGCAGAUAAGAGCUUUAUAAGAAUGUUUCUGAAACUUAUGUAUAGACCCUUACAAAUGGAGAAAAAAUGUCUUGUGAACACAUGGGUAGACUGAAA